AUCAUGGGGCCAGUUCUGUGGUGUAAUGAAUAAAACCUUUGUCUGCAGUGCUGGCAUCCCAUAUGGAUGCUGGUUCGAGCCCCAGCUGUUCCACUUCCAAUCCAGCUCUCUGCUAUGUCCUGGGAAAGCAGUGGAAGAUGGACCAAGUUGUUGGGCCCCUGCACCCAUAAUGGGAGACCUGGAAGAAGCUUCUGGCUCCUGGCUCCUGCCUUUGGAUGGCCCCUGCUCUGGCUGUUGCAUCCAUUUGGCUGCUGGGUUGAGUCUGGUCUUCCCAACCAGUUGAUGUCAUAAAGGAAUGCGGUUUUCCCUCUGUUUCUUCAUCACCAUCAUCAUCAGUGUCUUUGCAGGAAAUGUUGGCCACCACACACCAAAACUGGCUGCUGCAGCUGGCGCGCCCCGGCUGGCGCACCGCGUUGAUUCGAAGCCAGGAGCCAGGUGCUUCUUCUGGUCUCCCAUGCGGGUGCAGAGCCCAAGGACCUGGGUCAUCCUCCACUGCACUCCCGGGCCACAGCAGAGAGCUGGACUGGAAGAGGAGCAACCGGAACAGAAUCCAGCACCCCAACCAGGACUAGAACCAGGAAUCCUCAGCAGGCGGAGGAUUAGCCUAUUGAGCCGCGGCACCGGCCUCAAAUACCUUUAAGAGGAACUUAUUUUCUUUUUUAAUUGAGGUUGAUAAACAUGAUUCCCUCAGACUGAGUUCCUUGAGGUCAGAGAUGGAGUUUUAUGUUGAGCACAGAGGUAGGCUCGCCAGAUUUAGAAGAUCAAUAUAUGUGAAGAAGUUCAGGUAAAGAAUGCUAAUGAUUAAAAGAAAUAUACUUCAAAUAUGGUAUGAACAGACUUUAUAUUACAUUAAUAUUUGCAUUUAUUAUAUAUACUUAUUCAAAAAGCCUUCACUGCUAACUAAAAUUCAAAUUUAUGUGAGUGUCUGUGUGCAAUUUAGUAAUCCUAAAUAGGAAUAACUCAGAAAGUAGCAUUGUGGUACAUGAAAAAUAUUUUUCUUCUUUCUAUGCUUGUUCAGAGUGCUCAUCACGUCUCUCUGAAGUGGAGCAUGAGGCAGAUCAUGACACUGUAGUUGCUCUGCUAAUGAAAGGGACUUUGGACUUACAGCUGCGCAAAUUCCACGGGAUAAGACCAGCAGGAGGCUUGGGGUUAUAGCCACAGCAGGCCAUGAAGCUGCUGCCCUGAAUGUGAGCUUCCUGGAGCACUACGGCUCAGUGAGACCAUUGGCUCAGAGUCACGAGGGCAGGUCCAGGAGACCGUGGGGGGGCAGAUGAGCCGUGAUAGCCUUCAGUUUUGGAGAGAGAACUAUAGAGUUUUUAGACUAAAGAGACAAUUUGACAGCUGUCUUCCUUUUUUUCGGGGAGAGGCUUUUAUAACUCAGUUUUACUCUUUAGAAAUCACCCCAAGUUCAACUUUAAUGUGAUGUUGAAUCUGAUCAAUUAGGAGGCAGUAUGAUACAGUGAACAACAAACACAGAACUGGAGUCAGACAGAAAUGGGUGUUAGUUCCAGAGCGCCCUGACUAGCCCCGGCAGCAGCCCCAGGAGGGCACAGACUGGCCUGUGCUUGACCCCUCAGAUAAUUGGAUUUGCCCUUCCUUCGUUCUUUAAUAAUAUCUAGAGAGUUAUAUAAAAUGCAGUUUCAAGCCUUAUCUUCCAACUAGCUUGACACUUUUAGUACUUUCCCAUACAGAAUUCUGGUGCUACCACUGCCAUUGUGAGUUCCUGAGCAGUCACCUUCUUUGAACCUCAUUUUCCUCAUCUGUGCAUUCAAAAUGCUGUCACAUACAGUGUAGCAGUAUUGUGCAGUUUCACCAUAACAGAAGGGAUGCACCUGCCACAUGCUAGGGAUUUGAUAAAUGUUAAUCUUACUAUUAUAUUUGGUCCAAAUACAGCUCCUGUGCUUUGUUCCUCUCCAUUUAUGUGAGUUUCUUUAUUCUAUAGAUUCCUCUAUCAUUGUAGCCCAAUGUAUCACAAUGACUCUUCUCCUGAUGGUUCAGUUUAUAUCACUUUAAAAUGCCUAGUGUGUAUCUCCCCUUGUGUGAACAGAUGCUCCUCUAACUUCCGACAGCAUGAGCUGAUUAGUGCAAGGGGAUCUGACUUCAUGAAUCUAGAGAGCCAUGAAAGUGAAUCAUUUAUGACAUAUGUUUAAUAUUUGGGGAACUAUGAUUAGUGUGGCUGACCACACACAUAUGAAAAAUGCUGCCAGCCUGUGAUAUUGCAGUGUUAUUUUUCCAUCUCUUGAAUUAAAAUUCACUAUUAUGGGAUUUCAUAAAUAUACAAUUAUAGUAUAAUUGAUGCUGGCUCAUUUUCAUGUAGACUAUUUUAAGAGUGGUAUCAACAUUAAAAAUAAAAAUGAGAAAAUUCUACAAGGAAGAACCCACUGCUUUAUGAAUGUCAACGUUAUGCUCACUUCUGUGAGUGAGGUGUGCAGAGCUGUUUCUGAAACCAUUGGCAUCUCAUACUCAACUGGUUUGCAACAGAUAGAAAGGCUGAGGAUAAAGAACAUCUCACUUAGCUAGUUUUAGGAGGCAUAUCAUCCUAAUGUUUUGGGUUCUGGGCAACGAUCAUUCUAGGAGUGAUACGAGAAAAGCUAUCUAACCAUUUUAUAAGGAAAUUUUCUUUCCUAUUAAAUAUUAGGAAAAUGCAUUCUGUUGAUAUCACAGUGAUAACUUUAAUAUGCUCUAUACAUGCAGUUUUUUGAAUGUUGAUUGAAGGAUUCAAUGUUCUCUUCGUUUCUUAACUCUUAGCCUUGAAGAGGGUUCUACUCUGACACGUAAGUAAACGCAGUCUUCUCCUGUUUUAGAAGAGUUCACAUUUGUUUUACUUAGCCCCAUCAACAGAUUUAUUGAUCUCUAUAUCAUUAAUUAGAAUUAACAUUGGGGCUGGCGCCGCGGCUUAAUAGGCUAAUCCUCUGCCUUGCAGCGCCAGCACACUGGGUUCUAGUCCCGGUCGGGGCGCCGGAUUCUGUCCCGGUUGCCCCUCUUCCAGGCCAGCCUUCUGCUGUGGCCAGGGAGUGCAGUGGAGGAUGACCCAAGUCCUUGGGCCCUGCACCCCAUGGGAGACCAGGAUAAGUACCUGGCUCCUGCCAUUGGAUCAGCGCAGUACGCCGGCUGCAGCGGCCAUUGGAGGGUGAACCAACGGCAAAGGAAGACCUUUCUCUCUCUCUCUCUCACUGUCCACUCUGCCUGUCAAAAAAAAAAAAAAAAAAGAAUUAACAUUGGGGAAAGGUACUGUGGCAUAGUGGGUCAAGCCACUACCUGAAGUGCAGGCAUCCUAUAUGGGUGCCAGUUCGAGUACCAGCUGCUCCGUUUCUGAUCCAACUCUCUGCUGUGGCCUAGGAAAGAAGUAGAAGAUUGCCGAAGUGCCUGGGCCCCUGUAUCUGUGUGGGAGACCUGGAGGAAGCUCCUAGCUCCUGGCUUUGGAUUGGCACAGCUCCAGCUGUUGUGGCCAUUUAGGGAGUGAAUCAGCAGCUAGAAGACUUUCUCUCUCUCUCUCUCUCUCUCUCUCUCUCUCUUCUUUUGCCUCUCUGUAACUCUGCCUUUCAAACAAAUAAAUAAAUAUCUAAAAAUAAAACAGAAAAACAUUUGAAUUCAAGAUAUGAAUAUUUCAUAUGGUUGAUUUAAUUAUUGGUAAAUAUAACCAAACAGAGAAAUACACUUUAUGAAACUCAAAAAUUGAAACUAUCUCCAUCUUGGAAAAUGAUUUUCAGUUUGGGUAAUUUAUGUUAUUUACUGAGUUAAAAUAAGCACUCAUAAUUCAUUUGUCUGAAUGCGGGUAUUUAUACCCAAGAUAGAUACCCUUCUUCUUAGGGGAAGGCCACACCUAUUUUUUUUAAAGAUUUUAUUUUUUAUUUUGCAAGAGAUACAGAAAGAGAGGCAUAAACAGACAAAGAUCUUCCAUCCUCUGGGUCACUCCCUAGAUGACCAUAACAGCUGUGUUUAGGCCAGGCCAAAGGCAGGAGCUUCAUCCAGUUCUUCCACAUAAGUGGCAGGGGCGCAGAUAAUUGACACAUUUCCACUGCUUUUCCCAGGCUAUUAGCAGGGAAUUGGAUCAGAAGUGAAGCAAGCUGGGACUUGAAUCAGCACCCAUAUGGCAUGCUGCAAUUGCAGGUGCUGACUAUAACCACUACACGACAAGGCCAGCCCCAAGGCCACACCUAUAUGCCUGAAAGAGGGAAAGAACAAUUCUGUAUCUAACUUUUCUCAACUGUGAGUAUAAUGGUAGCACGUAUCAAAUUAAAUAAAUGUAAGUUAAAUUAAGAAAUUUAACUCAUGUAAAGGGCAUAGAACAGUGUGUCACAAAUAUUAAAAUAGUACGAUUUUGACUAUUAUUAUUAUUCUACCUGAUGUAAUUCUACUUGGCUGUUGGCAUGCUUCUAAGAGUCUGUCUUUCCCUUUAGCACAGCAUGGAUUGUUCCAGCUUCCUCAGUGCUCUCUCUGCUUUUUUUGCUAGUCUCGUGGCACUCAUGACAAUUCUGCAUAUUAUAAGAAAACAAAAGCAGAAAAAAUAAGUGAUGAAGGAAGAAGAGGAGGCUGUAAGGAGAUGGAGCAGGAGAAGGUGAAAAAGAAGAAAAGGGGAAGGAAG